rnacentral:tRNA from 1 species
CGCGGGGUGGAGCAGCCCGGUAGCUCGCGAGGCUCAUAACCUCGAGGUCGCAGGUUCGAAUCCUGGCCCCGCCA